rnacentral:rRNA from 1 species
CACGUAGGCACCAAGCGUUGUCCGGAUUUAUUGUGCGUAAAGAGCUCGUAGGCGGUUCAGUAAGUCAGGUGUGAAAUCUUUGGGCUUAACCCAAAGCGUGCAUUUGAUACUGCUGUGACUUGAGUUCGGUAGGGGAGUGGGGAAUUCCUAGUGUAGCGGUGAAAUGCGCAGAUAUUAGGAGGAACACCGGUGGCGAAGGCGCCACUCUGGGCCGAAACUGACGCUGAGGAGCGAAAGCGUGGGUAGCAAACAGG